AUUGAACGCUGGCGGAAUGCUUUACACAUGCAAGUCGAACGGCAGCACGGACUUCGGUCUGGUGGCGAGUGGCGAACGGGUGAGUAAUAUAUCGGAACGUGCCCAGUCGUGGGGGAUAACGUAGUGAAAAUUACGCUAAUACCGCAUACGAUCUACGGAUGAAAGCGGGGGAUCGCAAGACAUCGCGCGAUUGGAGCGGCCGAUAUCAGAUUAGGUAGUUGGUGGGGUAAAGGCUCACCAAGCCAACGAUCUGUAGCAGGUCUGAGAGGACGACCAGCCACACUGGGACUGAGACACGGCCCAGACUCCUACGGGAGGCAGCAGUGGGGAAUUUUGGACAAUGGACGCAAGUCUGAUCCAGCCAUUCCGCGUGCAGGACGAAGGCCUUCGGGUUGUAAACUGCUUUUGUACAGAACGAAAAGGUUUCUAUUAAUACUAGGAGCUCAUGACGGUACUGUAAGAAUAAGCACCGGCUAACUACGUGCCAGCAGCCGCCGUAA
rnacentral:rRNA from 1 species